AUGGGUGGUGUUCGGCAGCAGCUCAUGGCCGCCGUCCUCGUGGCGGUGGCGCUGAUGGCCACGGCGGCGGAGGGGUACAUCACUCAGAAGACGUGGGGCGCCAUCCGCCGGGCGAACCGCGCCGGGCCGUUCGUCGGCCUCGUCGUGCCCAACACAUACGAGAUGGUCCCCGUGCUCGAGUCGCCCAGCUUCGUGGCCAGCAAGAGCAUCCCUAACAUGGACAUCCAAGGGCGAAGGUUUCGCUUCGGAACCAUCGAAGGCCAAAGCGUCGUCAUGGUCAUGACUGGACUGAGCAUGCUCAACGCUGGUCUGACCACCCAGAUGCUGCUGAGCCUGUUCCGGGUGAAGGGCAUCGUCCACUGGGGCAUCGCUGGCAACGCCAACGAGGACCUCCAGAUCGGCGACGUCACCAUCCCCGAAUACUGGGCCCACGUCUCCCUCUGGAACUGGCAGCGGUUCGGCGACGGCAAGGAUAACGAGCUGUCACUGGAGGCCGCCGGCGACUACACCCGGGAGUACGGCUUCCUCAACUUCUCCGACUACACCGUGGGGCAGAGCAACCCGGCGCUAUCAGCCAACCAGCUCAACAGCAUCUGGUACCAGCCGGAGGAGAUCUUCCCCAAGUCCGGCGAGCCGGAGGAGCGGCAGCACGCGUUCUGGGUGCCCGCCAGCAAGCGGUACUACGAGCUGGCGAAGAAGCUGGAGGGCAUGGAGCUGCCGGCGUGCGUGAACGCGACGACGUGCCUGCCCCGCGCGCCGCGGGUCACCCGGGUCAGCAAGGGCUGCAGCGCCAACGUGUUCCUGGACAACGCCGAGUACCGCCAGUUCCUCCGCAAGCAGUUCGGGUGCACCCCCGUGGAGAUGGAGAGCGCCGCCGUGGCCCUCGUGGCGCACACGCAGGGGGUGCCGUUCCUCACCAUCCGCUCGCUCUCCGACCUGGCCGGGGGAGGCUCCGCGCUCGGGAACGAGGCCAGCACCUUCCUCGACAUCGCCGCGCAGAACGCCGUCACCGUCAUGCUCAAGUUCGUGCCGCUGCUCGGCAAGAGCGGCAGCGAGAUGGACGACGGCGCGGCCGCUGACAUGUGA
rnacentral:rRNA from 1 species